AGCGAACGCUGGCGGCAGGCUUAACACAUGCAAGUCGAACGCCCCGCAAGGGGAGUGGCAGACGGGUGAGGAACACGUGGGAAUGUGCCCUUUGGUUCGGAAUAACUCAGGGAAACUUGAGCUAAUACCGAAUAAGCGCGAAAGCGGAAAGAUUUAUCGCCGAAGGAGCAGCCCGCGUCUGAUUAGCUUGUUGGUGAGGUAACGGCUCACCAAGGCGACGAUCAGUAGCUGGUCUGAGAGGAUGAUCAGCCACACUGGGACUGAGACACGGCCCAGACUCCUACGGGAGGCAGCAGUGGGGAAUAUUGGACAAUGGGCGCAAGCCUGAUCCAGCCAUGCCGCGUGAGUGAUGAAGGCCUUAGGGUUGUAAAGCUCUUUUGUCCGGGAAGAUAAUGACUGUACCGGAAGAAUAAGCCCCGGCUAACUUCGUGCCAGCCGCCGCCGUAACAC
rnacentral:rRNA from 1 species